CUGCUUUUCAGAGUCAGAUUCAGUAUCCUUAUCCAGGUAUAUGCCCAGGAGUGGCCUAGCUGGAUCUUGAGGUAUACUGAGUCCCAUCAUCCUGAGGAACAACCACAAUGAUUCCCACAGUGGCUGUAUAAAGACUAAUGUGGAUAUAAAAUACAGAGUGAUGGAUUUGUUUUGGACUUUUCAAACCCUAUUCUCCAACAUUUAUGACAGUAUUGAGCACAUGGUACUGUGUUCAUAAAGGAACUGAGUGAGGUCUGGAGAAAUGACUUUUCUUUGCUCCUGAAGAGGACAUUACAUAGGACGUGGGAUGGCUAACAACAUCUGUAAUUCCAGCUUGGCCAGCUCCAUACCUCUCUCUUCAAUCUUUCCUGGACAUCUGCAGUAAUAUAGCUGACACAUUAGCAAAAAUAAAAAUAAACAACAAAUAAAAAGAAUAUUGAAUAAA